rnacentral:rRNA from 1 species
CUGGCUCAGGAUGAACGCUGGCGGCAUGCCUAAGACAUGCAAGUCGUUCGAAGAAGCCUAUUGAAGAUUGAGUGCUUGCACAAGAUUGGAUUUAGAUACUUCUUAGUGGCAGACGGGUGAGUAACACGUAGGUAAUCUACCUCGAAGACUGGGACAACGUUUGGAAACGAACGCUAAUACCGGAUAAUUCGUAAACGGAAAACUGUUUAUGCUAAAAGGUGCUUCGGCAUCACUUCGAGAUGAGCUUGCGGUGUAUUAGCUAGUUGGUGAGGUAAUGGCCCACCAAGGCAACGAUGCAUAGCCGGACUGAGAGGUCGAACGGCCACAUUGGGACUGAGACACGGCCCAGACUCCUACGGGAGGCAGCAGUGGGGAAUAUUGCACAAUGGAGGAAACUCUGAUGCAGCGACGCCGCGUGAACGAUGAAGGCCUUCGGGUCGUAAAGUUCUGUCCUUGGGGACGAUAAUGACGGUACCCAAGGAGGAAGCCCCGGCUAACUACGUGCCAGCAGCCGCGGUAAUACGUAGGGGGCGAGCGUUGUCCGGAAUUAUUGGGCGUAAAGGGUUCGCAGGCGGUUGUAUAAGUCAGGUGUGAAAGGCGCAAGCUUAACUUGUGUAAGCACUUGAAACUGUACAACUUGAGUUAAGGAGAGGAAAGUGGAAUUCCUAGUGUAGCGGUGAAAUGCGUAGAUAUUAGGAGGAACACCAGUGGCGAAGGCGACUUUCUGGACUUAUACUGACGCUGAGGAACGAAAGCGUGGGGAGCAAAAAGGAUUAGAUCCCCUGGUAGUCCACGCCGUAAACCAUGAAUGGUAGGUGUCGGGUGUCAAAAAUCGGUGCCGCAGCAAACACAAUAAGCACUCCGCCUGGGGAGUACGUACGCAAGUAUGAAACUCAAAAGAAAUGACGGGGGCCCGCACAAGCAGCGGAGCAUGUGGUUUUAUUUUGAAGCAACGCGAAGAACCUUUCCAGGGCGUGACAUGCCCCUGACCGGUAUAGAGAUAUGCCUUUACCUUCGGGUACAGGGGACACAGGUGGUGCAUGGUUGUCGUCAGCUCGUGUCGUGAGAUGUUGGGUUAAGUCCCGCAACGAGCGCAACCCUUGCUUCUAGUUGCCAUCAUUAAGUUGGGCACUCUAGAGGGACGGCCGAUGAUAAAUCGGAGGAAGGUGGGGAGGACGUCAAAUCAUCAUGCCCUUUAUGUCUUGGGGUACACACGUGCUACAAUGGUCGGUACAACGAGGAGGGACACAGCGAUGUGAAGCAAAUCUCUAAAAGCCGAUCCCAGUUCGGAUUGCAGGCUGCAACUCGCCUGCACGAAGUCGGAGUUGCUAGUAAUCGCGAAUCAGAAUGUCGCGGUGAAUGAGUUCCCGGGUCUUGCACACACCGCCCGUCA